rnacentral:lncRNA from 1 species
GCAUAUAAAGAGGUGGGGUGAAGAGUCCUAGUGAUCUUGGACUCUUACAGGAUUCCACCUCCCUUCAUAAUUUUAUAUCCCACAACAUGCCAAAAAAAUAUGGAACACCUAUUCCUAUAAUUGUUUAUGAUAAAUCAAUUCUCCAACUAAUCUUUCAUAAAAAAUCUCCUCAAAAUGUAAUAUAUAUAAAGAGAAAGAUAUUUAUUCAUAUGUAG